UUCACGUCCCUUCCCCUCAACCCCUCACGUCUCACUCACAUUGCACACAUUCACAUUCCAAUCCCUACUUUCUUCACAUAAAUUAUAAACCACAUACACAUCUAUAUAUUAGAGGGACUUGAAUCUGUGAAAAGGGGAAGAAGGAAGAAAAACGUGAGAGAGAAGAAGAACGAAAAGACUGCCUUCUUCUUCAGUUUUAGUUUCCAUCUCUAUUGUAGCAAAAUCAGAAAAUUUUCAGCCAUAAAAAUUCCAUAAUUCGAGCUUCAACUCGUACCCAUGUUACUAAAUAUAACACCUUAAUACCACCUGAAAUUAGUGUCUAUUUCCGUUCGAAGUUCCCGUCUUGAGUCAGCUGCUAGGUUGCAUCAUCAAAUUUCCCACGCUCGUGAUUGUUCGGCAUAUUCUAUCGAGAACUUUGUUAUAUAAAGAAGAAACCAUUACUCUAAAUGAUCAAUUUUCCUUUUUGCUUAUGAUAAAUUAUCAUCGACAUCUUAUUGAAUGUGUUUAUCUGUUUGUUUGGAAGCUACAAGUUGUGUCGUCCCUUCACUAUUAUUGAUUAUCUUACCUACAUGUAUGAUAAAUCUGUAAUUCACUAGUUGUGCAAUUUUCGUUUAGUUUUGUAGUAUUGAUGUUGUUUUAGAUAGAUAUUGAUAAUGAAAGGUAAUGAAGAAAAAAAAAGUUCUAAGACAAUUUUAUCUAGAUUUUUAUUGAUUACUUAGUUGAAUAAAUAAAGCUAUUGUGUGGUAUGGAUAUAAAAGGACAUGAAAAGAGCAUGAAUUGUUGUUUGGUAAACAUAUGUAAAAGUCAAGUGAAUUAGUUGGAGGAUUAUAUUCCAUGAACCUCCUUUACAUGUAUAUAGGCGGUCCAAUCUCUUUACCUUCGUUAUGUGAAUUUCCUUGAUCAUA
rnacentral:lncRNA from 1 species